ACGGAGGAUGCGAGCGUUAUCCGGAUUUAUUGGGUUUAAAGGGUGCGUAGGCGGGUUGUUAAGUCAGCGGUAAAAUUGCGGUGCUCAACGCCGUAGAGCCGUUGAAACUGGCGGCCUUGAGUGGGCGAGAAGUAUGCGGAAUGCGUGGUGUAGCGGUGAAAUGCAUAGAUAUCACGCAGAACCCCGAUUGCGAAGGCAGCAUACCGGCGCCCUACUGACGCUGAGGCACGAAAGUGCGGGUAUCGAA
rnacentral:rRNA from 1 species